rnacentral:rRNA from 1 species
CAGCAGCCGCGGGAAAACAGAGGAUGCAAGCGUUAUCCGGAAUGAUUGGGCGUAAAGCGUCUGUAGGUGGCUUUUCAAGUCCGCCGUCAAAUCCCAGGGCUCAACCCUGGACAGGCGGUGGAAACUACCAAGCUGGAGUACGGUAGGGGCAGAGGGAAUUUCCGGUGGAGCGGUGAAAUGCGUAGAUAUAUGGAGGAACACCAGUGGCGAAGGCGGCUCUCUGGUCUGUAUCUGACGCUGAGGCGCGAAAGCGUGGGGAGCAAACAGGAUUAGAUACCCGCGUAGUCCCUGUCUCUUAUAC